UACGUAGGGGGCAAGCGUUGUCCGGAAUCAUUGGGCGUAAAGCGCGUGUAGGCGGUUCGGUAAGUCUGCUGUGAAAGUCCAGGGCUCAACCCUGGGAUGCCGGUGGAUACUGUCGGACUAGAGUACGGAAGAGGCGAGUGGAAUUCCCGGUGUAGCGGUGAAAUGCGCAGAUAUCGGGAGGAGCACCAAUUGCGAAGGCAGCUCGCUGGGACGUUACUGACGCUGAGACGCGAAAGCGUGGGGAGCAAACAGG
rnacentral:rRNA from 1 species